rnacentral:rRNA from 1 species
AAUGGCCAUACCACUCUGAACAUGCCCAAUCUCAUCUGAUCUUGGAAGCUAGGCAGUGAAGCUAUGCCUGGUUAGUGCUUAGAAGGGAGAUCACCUGGAAAUACAGGUAUUGUAGGCUAUUA